GGUUCAGUGGUGUAAUGGUUAUCACGUUCGUCUCACACACGAGAGGUCAAGAGUUCGAUCCUCUUCUGAACCA
rnacentral:tRNA from 1 species